GUAGGUGAACCUGCGGAGGGAUCAUUAACACGUAUCCAAACGUUAACCCCCAAUUGUGAUAUUAGUCCUACGUGAAAGGUCGUCUGGCGGUGUAGGUGUAAAGGACUGUAUAGAAUCAGCCUCCGUCAGGCGUGUACGUUGUGCAGUAAGCGCUCCCGACAGAUCGUAGCGUAACCAAAAGCACCGGUUGCUAGGGCACCAUUGGCGUGGUCAUUAGGGCACCAUUCCCUAACAGUAUCUAAUCCUUUGG
rnacentral:misc_RNA from 1 species